rnacentral:rRNA from 1 species
UACGGAGGGGGCUAGCGUUGUUCGGAAUUACUGGGCGUAAAGCGCACGUAGGCGGCUUUGUAAGUUAGAGGUGAAAGCCCGGGGCUCAACUCCGGAAUUGCCUUUAAGACUGCAUCGCUAGAAUUGUGGAGAGGUAAGUGGAAUUCCGAGUGUAGAGGUGAAAUUCGUAGAUAUUCGGAAGAACACCAGUGGCGAAGGCGACUUACUGGUCCGGUUCUGACGCUGAGGCGCGAAAGCGUGGGGAGCAAACAGG